rnacentral:lncRNA from 1 species
AUUUUGUUUUUUUGUUGAUGUUAUUGUUGUUGUUGAGAUUUAAUGUUUAACUAUUCUAUUGAAUUUUGUUCUUGUUCUUGUUCUUGUUCUUGUUCUUGUUCUUAGUCUUAGUAUUUUCUUGUUGUUCUUGUUCUUAUUCUUGUUACUGUUCUUUCUUUUGAUCUUACUCUUAUUGGUCUUGUUCUUGUUCUUGUUCUUGCUCUUGUUCUUGUUCUUGUUCUUGUUCUUGUUCUUGUUCUUGUUCUUGUUCUUGUUCUUGUUCUUGUUCUUGUUCUUGUUCUUGUU